UCCCUCGUAACUCAGUUGGUAAAGAAUCUGCCUGCAAUGCAGGAGAUCCAGGUUUGAUUCCUGGGUCGGGAA
rnacentral:tRNA from 1 species